AUAUAUUGAUAUUUCAUCAACAACCCUAAAAACAACAAAUAGUUCAUAGCAGGCGGUUUAAAUAGCAAAAUAAUCAAGUAAAUGUUCGAGUUGGUUCGCUUUUAGUUAUAUUUCUCUACCUACACCAUGGGAUUCGUGCUGUCCAAGUUCCGGAAGGAAAAGUCUACGGAGGCGGUCUUGGAGGGGCUGCAGACGCAGAUCCAGGCAUUGGAGAAGUACAUGAUAAACACUGAGGAGCGGAAACGGCGCUUCGUCACCAAUUUUGUUGGCUUCACCAUUGGCGCCUAUAUCGUGGGCUUCGGACUAUGGUACUUCUUCUACUUUCCGCCAACACUGCAGGAAUGCUUCAUGUACUUGGUUCCGCUACUCCUCUUUCCGAUUGUAAUCAUAUUUCUGAGGCGUCUGUUUACGUGGUACUUUCAACGAAAGCUCAACAAAAAUGGCGAUAAGCUGGCGCGGCUGAAGGAGGACAAGCGCAAGAUAUUGGAACAGGUCAUGGACAAAGAGACCUACAAGGUGGCAGUGAAUCUCCUGGAGCGCUUCGGGGACAAGAAACAGCUCCGUCUGACCAAUCCCAGCAAUCAGGCACUAAACCGAACUACUGUCGAACAGCAAAGGACGCCACAGCCGGCGGCACGACUUUCCACGACCAUCGCUGGCGGCCAGCAGCCGAGCCAGCGGUCGGUCACUCCCUAUAGCAGCGUUUACCGAAACAACAAUAACAACAACACCACCCUGAACAGCAGCAUCGCCAGCACCCAGUCGAUGACGUUGACGUCAGCAUCACCGCAGAUGCGCGCCGUUCAGGAACUCCGACGCCGCUCACCCUUCCCCAUCGUCGAUGAGCGUUCUCGCAGCGCUAUCGAUCGAAUUGUGGACUUCAUUGUGGGCGAUACGCCACAGAAUCGCUUCGGCAUGAUCUGCAAGGCGUGCCACGCUCACAACGGUAUGCUGCACAAGGAAGAGUAUGAGUACACCACGUUCCGGUGUGCCUUCUGCAAUGUACUUAAUCCGGCACGAAAGAAGCGUCCCGUCGCCCCCCGACUUUCUCUGGAGGCACCAACGCCUGCGACGACCAAGCGGAACGUUAGUUCCGAGAGUGAAUCAUCUGAUGAUGAGUCUGAUAAGGAACCAUCAGCACGACGUGCCCUGCUACAGGAUGUGCCAUCGAGUGAAGCUGUUAGUAACGCCACCGUCGUAACAGAAGAGACUGUAACUGAGAGCGAAACAACCGAGACUGGACCUGACGUCAGCAUGGCUGAGGUGGCCGCCAGCUCCUGAGGGCACUUCUAACCCAAUAUAAAAUACCCAACCACCACAAUGUCUAGGCGCCAGUCAAGCAAAAUUCUUGGAUUAUUUGCUUAUUAGUUAACAUAUUUAAUAUUUUGUUGAAUACCAUAUGAUAAUGCUUCGAAGUGUCGUGUCAACUUUCUUGCUGCGGUGGGUCAGCCACCUAGGCCACCUUGAGGUGUGGGCGGUGGUGGCGGCGUCGUCACACCCCUUGCAACUGUCAGCAUAGAAGGAAAUUGAUAAUUAAAAUCUAGGCAAAAUAAGGCGACAACUAAUGGCAUAAUAAUUUAAAGCACGCUCUGCGGCAUGUGUGACAAAAAAGGCAAACAACGGCCGACAACGAUGGCGAUAUCUCUUUGCCCAGGGGCUACAGUGGAUAGUACUCCAAGUCACUUACAAGCCCGAGAACACACUCACACACAUGUGUGUGCCGCUCCAGACUACGAGCACUGCAUUAUGCGAACGGUCAACAAUUUCAAUUUCGCUGGCUUUUAUUUUUGCUUUAUUCUGUUUUUCCGGGCCAUUGAUCAAGGCUAACGAGAUCGAUCGGCUGGCCGGGCUGGCCUGGCCUGGCCUGGCCUGGCUGCCUGGUUGGUGGUGCAGCAGUGGUGCAGCAAACGUAACAUAACGCAUUAGCCGGCCAACACCACCAGUGCCCACCUACACGAAGAAAAAAUGCCUAGAUAUGACCAGAAAUUGCUCUGAAUUUGGAAAAACACUUGUGGGAAAUGGAAGACUAUUAAUAAAUUAGUUGCAGAAUAAAAUACUAUGUUUUAGUUUCCAAUAGGAAGAUAUUUGGUGGAAGCUUAAAAAUAAUGGACAAUUUUUAAUAAAUAGAGUUCUAAAAUCAA